UACGUAGGUGACAAGCGUUAUCCGGAUUUAUUGGGCGUAAAGCGCACGCAGGCGGCUCUUCAAGUCUGACGUGAAAUCUCUCGGCUUAACCGGGCGCGGUCGUUGGAAACUGAAGGGCUUGAGGCGAUGAGAGGGGUGUGGAAUUCCCGGUGUAGUGGUGGAAUGCGUAGAUAUCGGGAGGAACAUCAGUGGCGAAAGCGGCACCCUGGCAUUAGCCUGACGCUCAUGUGCGAAAGCGUGGGGAGCGAACGGG
rnacentral:rRNA from 1 species